rnacentral:rRNA from 1 species
CUAUGCGCCUUGCCAGCCCGCUCGAGAAACUUAAAGGAAUUGACGGGGCCGCACAAGCGGAGGAACAUGUGGUUUAAUUCGAUGAUACGCGAGGAACCUUACCUGGGCUUAAAUGGGGAGUGACAGCUGUCGAAAGAUGGUUUUCUUCGGACACUCUUCAAGGUGCUGCAUGGUUGUCGUCAGCUCGUGCCGUGAGGUGUCGGGUUAAGUCCCAUAACGAGCGCAACCCUUACCGUUAGUUACCAUCAGGUUAAGCUGGGGACUCUAGCGGGACUGCCACCGUAAGGUGAGAGGAAGGUGGGGAUGACGUCAAAUCAGCACGGCCCUUAUGUCCAGGGCUACACACGUGUUACAAUGGCCGGUACAAAGGGCAGCUACUUCGCGAGAAGAUGCUAAUCUCGAAAGCCGGUCUCAGUUCGGAUCGAAGUCUGCAACCCGACUUCGUGAAGCUGGAUUCGCUAGUAAUCGCGCAUCAGCCAUGGCGCGGUGAAUACGUUCCCGGGCCUU